GAUUAACGCUGGCGGCGUGCAUAACACAUGCAAGUCGAACGAUGAAACUUUAAUGAACCCUUCGGGGAGAAUUAAAGCGGAUUAGUGGCGAACGGGUGAGUAACGCGUGAGUAACCUGCCUUACACAAGGGGAUAGCCUUUGGAAACGAAGAAUAAUACCCUAUAAAACCAUAAAAGCACAUGCAAUUAUGGUCAAAGUGAUAGCGGUGUAAGAUGGACUUGCGUCUGAUUAGCUAGUUGGUGAGAUAAAAGCCCACCAAGGCAACGAUCAGUAGCCGGCUUGGAGGGGGGUACGGCCACAUUGGGACUGAGACACGGCCCAGACUCCUACGGGGGGAAGCAGUGGGGAAUUUUGCACAAUGGGGGAAACCCUGAUGCAGCGACGCCGGGUGAUUUAGAAGGCCUUCGGGUUGUAAAAAUCUUUUGUAUAGGAAGAAAAUGACAGUACUAAACGAAUAAGGUCCGGCUAAUUACGU
rnacentral:rRNA from 1 species